AUGCGAUAAGUAAUGUGAAUUGCAGAAUUCAGUGAAUCAUCGAAUCUUUGAACGCACCUUGCGCUCCUUGGUAUUCCGAGGAGCAUGCCUGUUUGAGUGUCAUGAAACCCUCAAACCCAAGUUUUGGAUUUCGGUCCAUGCUUGAGUUUGGAUUUGGAUGUUUGCCGGUGAUGAACCGACUCAUCUUAAAAGUAUUAGCUGGAUCUGUCUAUAUGACUGGUUUGACUUGGCAUAAUAAGUAUUUUGCUGAGGACAUCUUCGGAUGGCCAGGACCUAGACUACUGUCUGCUAACUAAACCAUCACUUUAAGUGCAUCCUUGGAUGUUACUCAUUGUGUAACUUUGACAUCUGGCCUCAAAUCAGGUAGGACUACCCGCUGAACUUAA
rnacentral:misc_RNA from 1 species